GACGAACGCUGGCGGCGUGCUUGACACAUGCAAGUCGAACGGAAAGGCCUGCUUUCCCUUGUGGAUUGCGGGUACUCGAGUGGCGAACGGGUGAGUAACACGUGAGUGAUCUGCCCCCAACUUGGGUAUAAGCCUGGGAAACUGGGUCUAAUUCCCGAUAGGACUGCAGGGUGGUGCCUGUGGUGGAAAACGAUUUUCUAGUGGUUGGGGAUGAGCUCGCGGCCUAUCAGCUUGUUGGUGGGGUAAUGGCCUACCAAGGCGGCGACGGGUAGCCGGCCUGGGAGGGUGGACGGCCACAUUGGGACUGAGAUACGGCCCAGACUCCUACGGGAGGCAGCAGUGGGGAAUAAUGCACAAUGGGCGGAAGCCUGAGGCAGCGACGCCGCGUGGGGGAUGACGGCCUUCGGGUUGUAAACUCCUUUCGACCGCGAGGAAGCCACCUGGUUGGAAGGGUGGUGACGGUAGUGGUAGAAGAAGCACCGGCUAACUACGUG
rnacentral:rRNA from 1 species